CCAAUAGCGUAUAUUAAAGUUGUUGCAGUUAAAAAGCUCGUAGUUGAAUUUCGGGGUUAGUAGGUUGGUCAUGCCUCUGGUAUGUACUGGUCUCACUGAUUCCUCCUUCCUGAUGAGCCGUAAUGCCAUUAAUUUGGUGUUGCGGGGAAUUUGGACUGUUACUUUGAAAAAAUUAGAGUGUUUAAAGCAAGCUAACGCUUGAAUACAUUAGCAUGGAAUAAUGAAAUAGGACGUUCGAUCCUAUUUUGUUGGUUUCUAGGAUUGACGUAAUGAUUAAUAGGGGUAGUUGGGGGCAUUAGUAUUCAAUUGUCAGAGGUGAAAUUCUUGGAUGUAUUGAAGACGAACUACUGCGAAAGCAUUUGCCAAGGAUGUUUUCAUUAAUCAAGAACGAAAGUUAGGGGAUCGAAGACGAUCAGAUACCGUCGUAGUCUUAACCAUAAACUAUGCCGACUAGGGAUCGGAUGAUGUUAAUUUUUUAAUGACUCAUUCGGCGCCUUACG
rnacentral:rRNA from 1 species